rnacentral:lncRNA from 1 species
CUGUAGCGGCCCGGUCCUACCAGCCUCACGUCUCACAUCCAGAGGUACUUAACAGAUACCUUGGACUCUUCUGCUGGGACUGUGACUCAGCCUGCUUCAGCUUUCCUGAAACUGAUUGAAGACAAUGUAAGUGCUGAUCAUCUCUUUUCUUUGUUGUGAUGAGAUGAAUUUACUUUGUAUUUUGGCAGAAACAUAAUCAUAAGCACCACUGGAAGCUUGGUGGGAAAUGGGUUAACUGUUUCUCUUACUGUUGUUGCUCUGUGUAGAUAUUUGGUAUAGAAACCAGGUUAAACAAAACAAAGGUUUAUUUCCCACCACCACCACCUCCUGAUUCCCAUUAAUUGUGAAAGAAAGAGGUUUGAUGACUGAGUUAAUGGAUGAGUCAGGGAAGGAGUAAGUAUUUCUUGGCCUUUGGAUGAAGCAAACUACUUUUUUGAACUUUGCCUUGGGCUUGUCUAAAGGAAGCUACUAUGUGUUUUAGUCAUUGUUUAAUUGAGGGGAGUUGGUUUACUUCUGUUAUAUUUUUCCCUUAAAAAGGCAAAAUAUUCCUUGGAUUUACUUGUUAUUACUUUACAGCAGCAGCCAUAGUGUGAGACUUUUUUCCCAGUUAGAAAGUAAGUUUAUGAAAGGGGUUAUGUGAUGUUAAGCCUGCAAUACCCAGGUUGGACUCAGAGAUCCCAAA